rnacentral:rRNA from 1 species
CGGGACGGGUGAGUAAUGUCUGGGAAACUGCCUGAUGGAGGGGGGUAACUACUGGAAACGGUAGCUAAUGCCGCAUAACGUCGCAAGACCAAAGAGGGGGACCUUAGGGCCUCUUGCCAUCGGAUGUGCCCAGAUGGGAUUAGCUAGUAGGUGGGGUAACGGCUCACCUAGGCGACGAUCCCUAGCUGGUCUGAGAGGAUGACCAGCCACACUGGAACUGAGACACGGUCCAG